ACUAUAUAUAGCGCUUGAGGUUCUUCCCGAUUCUGUUGAACGGGGAGCUAAGACGGGAAUUCGGUGCGCCGGCCUUUCGUGGCCGGCAAUGCCGAGGCUGCCCCCGCAACUGUGAGCGGUGAGUUCUUGUUCGAUCAUGCCACUGGGUCCGGCGGACCUGGGAAGGCGGGCAGGGACGGUGAUCCGCAAGCCAGGAGACCUGCCUUUUGCGUGAAUACGUC
rnacentral:ncRNA from 2 species